GGAGGGGUGGCCGAGCGGCUUAAGGCGGCGGUUUGCUAAACCGCUGUAUGCUUGAAAAGGUGUACCGAGGGUUCGAAUCCCUCCCCCUCCG
rnacentral:tRNA from 1 species